rnacentral:misc_RNA from 1 species
AAAAUUAUUACAAUGCCAAUUUAAAGUUCAGUUAUACAAACAAGUUCAAGUCAAACAAUAUGAAUUACAGGGUUCCAAUUCAGCAAACUACAAUAGCAAACCACGAUCGCACUUACAACCUCUGAGAAUUGACCUGACGACUGACUAACCACGGGCCUUGUCCGAAGGGCUUGAUCCACAGAAGUUGUCCACGAACAAUCCUUCGUCGAAGCUCAAGUUGGGCAGAGGUUUUGGAAUCCUGGCCGUGAGCCAGAUAUUUUCCACCUUGGUCAAGGGUCCUUUUAUAGGCUUUCCUAGCGUUAUUUGCACGCCACCUUUACUUGCCGGGCAAGUGACUUCAUGGUCAAGGAAGAUAUCGGGUCCAUCGAUUGCAGCCGCUUCAUCCGAACCGUCAGCCUUCCCAUUGUUCUUUAUCAUGGACUGUGUCAUCUUUGCCGUCAUUUAACCUCGCAUAAAACCACGGAAACGCAUUAGACUGAUAUUUUUAAGGUUCUGCAAGGAUUCGCAUAUUAAGCUUGGCAACCACAUAGAAUUCUAUAUACAGAAAGCUUAACAUUUUGUGCAAUAUGAAUAUAUCAAUACAACAAGUUCAUAGCAAGAGAUAAAUUGACAUAAUACAUUUCUCAUUUAAUGCUCAGGUUG